rnacentral:lncRNA from 10 species
UGGCUGCAGAAAUGCCAGUUCCCAAGGAGAAAGCAUUUGCCAGUUUCUCUUCAGUGUUUUAAUUUUCCAGUUAUAAGCCAUAGCUGCCAGAUAUUUUUCUCCUGUGAAUAUCAAUAAUGUAUGUUUAACUAGAUUUACAUUUUGUUUCUUUUUUAUUAUUGACAUUUUUCAUAAUUAGAUGAUUGUGGAUUUAACAAUAGGAAAAAAAAGGCAAACUGUCUUUAGUGUUAACGUCAAUCCCUGCCUCAGAACAGGAGUGCUUCAGAGUAGGGGCAUUAUUCCACUCAGCACAUGAGCAUCCGCUCAGCAUCAUAUAUGCACCAAAGAAGAUGCACUGCAUGAGGCAAUCCCCUUAGCGCAUAUCCUUUCAGAUAGAUGAGACAAAUACACAUAACUGCAAAUGAGAAAGAGCUGUCCAAAAAUGUCUGACUUCUGUAGUGUGCCUUCGUAGCACUAGAGGGUUCUGCAGCUGUGAAACUGAAGGCAUUGGCAAGAAGCCCUGGGUUGUCAUUCUGAGAACAAUCACACCUCCAAUUUUGGCUUACUAAGCAAUAGCGUUUUAAUGAUUUUAAGCCAGGAUUUGCUCCUCCUUUCCUCAGUAUGAGAGCUUAACCACUGGAGGAACCAAGAAUUCAUGCUGGUUGGGUUCUGAUUCCACUUUAACUUACUGUAUAGCCUCAUCCCUUGUUUUUCUGGAGAUUCUCUUUUUCUGCUUCACUGAUUUAUAUUUACAUUAAAAUCAAAUGAGGCCAUGUUUCUGAAAUCACAUUGUCCCUACAUGGUCAUUACAAUGAGUCUGUAAUGUGACUGAAAGACAGCCAUGGAUACAGGUAGAGGAUAUCAGGCAAUUGAAUGCUCAUCAAGCAUUCAAUUCAGGGCAAAUGGCAUAAGGUAUGCAGUUGGCCUCUUCUGAUAUCUGUGUCUUAAUCCUUUCUUUAGCCUCUGUUUUCUGGACCAAGGCUAAGAUAUUUUCUGGGCACAGUGGCUCAUGCCUAUAAUCCCAGCACUCUGGGAGGCCAAGGUGGGAGGAUUUCUUCAGCCCAGGAGUUCGAGACCAGCCUGGGGAACAUAGGAGACCUCAUUCCUACAAAUAAUAAAAAAAAUUAGCCAGCUCUGGUGGCGUGUGCUUAUUGGUCUCAGCUACUUGGGAGGCUGAGGUGGGAGGACUGCUUGAGCCCAGAAGAUCGCAGCUGCAUUGAGCCAUGAUUGUGCCACUGAACCCUAGCCUGAGCAACAGAGCAAGGCCUUAUCUCAAAAAAAAAAAAAAAUUCUGAGCCUUCUAAUUUUUUUUUUCUUUAAUUAACUUUCUGUAAGCCCAGCAAGUAAAUAAAACACUUAUUUUAUGAAGCAUCUAGUUGCUUUUAGGGGAAGGGACAUCCUCCGCAUAGUAUCUAGGCCAGCUCACUUUCUUCUCCUUACUGUUGAUUUACUCUCUGCCAUUGAAUCUUCUGUGCCAAUGUUGGAUUAAUGUUUCCGGGCCCUACUUUCAUCAUGCUCCUCUGUAUUAUCACCUGUUUUGGUUUACAGCAAUGAUUUUUAAGGUAAGGCAUGGUGUGUCCAUCAUAGUCACAUGGGAACUUUUUCAAGCCAUAUUAAAAAUGUCCCCCAUUCAUCAUUCUGCCCCUGGAACAGUGUGUGCAGUUGGGACCUUCAAGUAAAUCUACUUUGUUGAAACCCACUGAUCAGCAUGGUGUAUUUCAUAACUCUUUGACUUACAUUCAAGAAAUUCCUUAACCUGAACUCCAUUUUACUCUUUUUUUCAUUCAUUCAAAUUAAGAAUAUUGCCUGAACAUGAAUUAUCUGCUAGACGUUUUUCUAGGUGCAGGAGGAGUAAGGAUGAACAUAACUAGCCAUAACUAUAGCUAUCAAUUGUGGAGUGUCUGUUAUGUGCCAGGCACUUUUAAGUGACCUACUCGAUUUACUUGCAUGACAAACUGUGAGGAAAAGCCCAAUAUUAUCCCCUAUUAACAGAUGAGGAAACUGAAGCACAAACAGCAUGAAUAGUUUGUUCCAGAUUGCAUCAUAAGAGGCACAGCCAGCUUUCCUACCAAAGC